UACGUAGGUGACAAGCGUUGUCCGGAUUUACUGGGCGUAAAGAGCGCGCAGGCGGUCGUUCAAGUCGAGUGUGAAAGCCCCCGGCUCAACUGGGGAGGGUCAUUCGAUACUGAUCGACUCGAAGGCAGGAGAGGGUAGUGGAAUUCCCGGUGUAGUGGUGAAAUGCGUAGAUAUCGGGAGGAACACCAGUGGCGAAGGCGGGUCUCUGGGCAACAACUGACGCUGAGGAGCGAAAGCGUGGGGAGCGAACAGG
rnacentral:rRNA from 1 species